UACGUAGGGUGCGGGCGUUAAUCGGAAUUACUGGGCGUAAAGCGUGCGCAGGCGGUUCGUUAAGUCAGAUGUGAAAGCCCCGGGCUCAACCUGGGAACUGCAUUUGAAACUGGCGGGCUUGAGUGUGGCAGAGGGGGGUGGAAUUCCGCGUGUAGCAGUGAAAUGCGUAGAGAUGCGGAGGAACACCGAAGGCGAAGGCAACCCCCUGGGCUGACACUGACGCUCAGGCACGAAAGCGUGGGGAGCAAACAGG
rnacentral:rRNA from 1 species